ensembl:lncRNA
GUAGAGUCAUUUCCUCAUAGACGUCUAUGGGAGCAGAGGAGUCGCCCCCUGCUGGUCACUACAGAGAAGUAGAGUCAUUUCCUCAUAGACGUCUAUGAGAGCAGAGGAGUCGCCCCCUGCUGGUCACUACAGAGAAGUAGAGUCAUUUCCUCAUAGACGUCUAUGGGAGCAGAGGAGUCGCUCCCUGCUGGUCACUACAGAGAAGUAGAGUCAUUUCCUCAUAGACGUCUAUGGGAGCAGAGGAGUCGCCCCCUGCUGGUCACUACAGAGAAGUAGAGUCAUUUCCUCAUAGACGUCUAUGGGAGCAGAAGGAGUCGCCCCUGCUGGUCACUACACAGAACGCAGCUUUAAUGCAUGAAAGGCCCUGCUACACUUAAUUAAUGAUAUGAUAGGGGACCCCAAUUGACCCCUUUUGUAAAAACAUGCCAAACAAUCCAUGAAAGAACACUCAUGCCGCGCUGCAUCACCUCAUCCACGAUUAUUCUGUUGUUAAUGUUCUGAUGAUGACAGAAAAUUACAAAACUUUUAAAGUAAAAGAUUGGAUUCAUUCUUCUGGCAAUCCUCAAACUUAAUACAAAAAUCACUAAAUAUUCUCUGGUUUCAUCUUCUCUGCUGCUUCCACCUCUUCGUUAUAUUAAAUUAAAUAUCUUUGGCUUUUCCGACAUCGCUGACAUUCACAGCUUCUGAGAAACAACGAUGACGAAUAAUAGUUUUUUGCGUCCGUGGUAUUUUGUAAGCUGUGCGAUGUGAUUUUCCUGACUUGGGUUCAUUCUGCAGCCUUCAGAUGGUCAGAUGAAAGUAGGUUGUGGUUUUGGUCGACUGAGCCGGGAAGCAGUGACUCUGCAGGUUGUUUUUGAUUUGACGCGGCUCCAGAGAGUCCUGAGCUGUGACGUUAGUUAAAGUGCGAUUACCUGUUACGCGUGGAAACAGUAAACGUUACACACAAGCGGCACAGACACACAUCUAAACAACUGGAAUAACACACGUAUUGCAUCAAUAACUAUAAGAAUAUACGGUAAAAAUGAAAUGAUGUAAUACGUAUUGUUACUCCUCGUCGACCCGGUCAGGAGACGAACGCUCACGUGACUGAAGGAAGAUUGUCGACGCAGAGACGAGCAGAAAUAUGUGACUGACAACCAGAGUUUGACGUGCAGUGAAAUUCCAUAAACGCUUCGAUCGAGAUAAAUGAUGACUGAUCAAAGUAAAUGACCACGCCGCGAGGCUUCGGAGGGCUAACAUGCUAACAUGCUAACGGCUGGCCACGAAAGAAUCUGUUAUUCACUGCACGUAAACGUAAAAGUUUAACAAGGUAGCAUGUUAGCAUGCUAAUGUUUGCUAAAUAGCACGAACGUUAUUAAAAAAUACACGAUUACAUAAAUGAUGCAUUUUAAGUUGCAUUAAAACUCUACAUUCAGAGGUUCAGUAUAUUUAAAGAGAAUAUAUUUUAAUUGUCGGCUUAUUCAGAUUUUGCUUUCUAACACAGACAACAACAAAAACAAUGCUAGCUACACAUUUCUGGUUGGAUGAGGUGGAAGCAAACAAGCUGCAGCAAUUACAUCACUCUUCUCCUUUAGAGAUAAAAAUAGACCUUGAGCUGCAGUUGGUCCAACAUUCCAGAGCCAGAAUUGAAAGUCAAACAUUGAAAUGUGUUUUCCCUACUUGCCUCACAGGUACUGAGACGUGACGUUACUGUGAGGAUGAUUUAAAGCACCUGUAACAGCCCACAGGUGAGACGGACAAUCCCAGAGAGUGUCAUUUGAUGUGGCGGAGUAUAAACGGUUUCCGGCCUGCAGGUGAAUACGAAGAUAAUCAUCUCGACAGGUUGAAGCCAUUCAUGUACACACAUUGUUACACACAUUGUUACACACAUUGUUACACACAUUGUUACACGCGUUGUUACAAACAGGGAUCAGCUGUUGCCUCACUGAUCAAAACGUCCCAGCAGACGGAAGCUUUUGAACCAGGAAGUAACUGCAGGCGUAAAUAACACGGAUUCUCUGAGGGCCUCAGGUGUUUGUGCAGCUCUACAGGUGCCUCCUGUUUCCUGCUGCUGUCUGCGCAGCACAAAGAACUCGACUAAACGUGGAUCCUGAUCACACGCACGCACACGGUGGGAAGUUUGCUGUACUCGCUGCACUUCCUGGAGUCACCUGCCCGGGGAAAUCCCCAGUGAUGAUGUCACACAGGUAGGACCGCCUCCCUCCAGCAGGGCUCGUGGAAAUCCACACACAGGGUUUGGUCCUCUUCCUGCUCUGCGCCGGACUUUUCUUUGACUUUCCUCAAAUUGUUUUUUCAGUUGUCUUUUGUUCAAAGUCUCCUUCCUCUUCUCUGCUUCCUCCUCUCUGGAGCUCGUUGGAUAGAAAACUUUUAAAAUAGAAAAUGUUAUUUUACUUUAAUUUUUAUGUGGAAAAUAAUUUGUUUUCAGGCGAACUGUUCCUUUAAGUCCACAGGAACGGAGCGGGGAACAUUCAGGUAGAACGUCUGCUUUUGGGUUGGUGGCUUGAGAGCAAACAAAUAAACCCGAUGGAAAACUUGUAAUUUUAAGGUAAAUCUUGUUAGUUUUAUAUUACAGUAAUGUGUAUUUUUACAUUCAGACUGACUCUGGAUCCCAAUUUAGCAAACUUUUUUCAUUACAUCAAACAUAAUGUCUUUUAUAAAAGUAGAAUCAAGAAUGAUACGUUAUAAAUCGGUUAUAAAAAAGGAGCAACAUUGCCGACCGUCGUCCUUCUCGAGCAAGACACCUACACUGUAAAAUAAAAAAACCGGCUGCCAAACAAAGACUGUAAAAUUAAGAUAAAAUAAUUUAAUUCAAACACCUUUAAUAAAGGGAAUUAUGUAUAACAUGUACACAAUUUCACAGCCUACACAUACAACUAAAUACGUACAUUUAUUUUAUAUUCAUAUUAGUCAUCUUUUCCUAUAAUUGCUAGUUGUGAUGGAGGCAUGUUGGUGACGUGAGUCUGCAGCAGCUACAGAGAAGCAUCUUAGAUGCCUUCAUGUGUCGUUACAGUCAUGCAGACGACAACCAACAAGGUUCAAAGUAAAACUUUAGUAUCAACGAUGGGGAUGAAAUGCAGGUGAGGAGGUCAUGUGACCUAAUGAGGGGCGGGGCGGACAGGUGGGUAGAGGUGAAUGAAUGAAAAUCAAACAGUCCACUUUAGACCCCAAAGAGACUUGUGUUAAUCUAAAUCAGCAUCAGCAUCACUUCCUGUUCUUCUCACAUGUUUGUUCUGCUUCCUGAAAUAAUUUAAUUUCUUUGCAGGUGAGAAAAUGUUUCUGAGGAGAAACCGACUAAUAUGGAGACGCGACCUUACAUGACUGAGAACAUCAACGCUAAAGUCCUUCGUUCACCAAACGGGUAACGGGUGUUACUCCAAACACACACACACACACACACUCACACACACACUCUCACACACACUCUCACACACACACACUCACAAUGAGCUAAGGCAAAUGCCACAAUAGUGAAAGUAGGUAAGUAGGUCUCAUAUUCUUGAGGUUGCUGCAGGUUUCUGCACCAGUUUAAUAUAAAGUGCACAUGAGUGUGUGUGUGUGUGUGUGUGUGUGUGUGUGUGUGUGUGUAUGAGUGUGUGUGUGUGUGUGUGUGUGUGUAUGAGUGUGUGUGUGUGUGUGUGUUCAAUCCGAUAAAACUGAUCUUAUACAGAUAAUAGGAAUCAUCAUCUAUGUCAUAUUUCUUUCUUUACCAACACACAAUUCCUCUAUAACACUUUAGUUUGAAUGUAAUUGAAAUAUAAUUUGAUUUAAUUUAUGAAUACAUAUAAUCUAUACAUUUCAAUGAAAUCAGGAGAAUUCCACUGUGAUUGUUUGAUCAAUAAAUCUCAUUGGGAUUGAUUUGUUCUCCACCUAAAUAGUUUUUGGCUGUUUUGUAAAAUAACUAAAUACAUUUAUUCAAGUACACAACCUUUUACUGCUCCAUGUGUAUUUAUUGACUUUAAGAUCAAGAGCUCUUAAAUGAAACAUUUUGCAUAAAAUGUACCUCAGAUACUUUUGGUAUAUAUGUAGAUAGAGUAUAUAUAAAUAUAUGUGUAUAUAUAUAUAUAUAUAUAUGUAUAUAUAUAUACUGAGAU